rnacentral:sRNA from 1 species
CUUUUCCAGGGAGUUCAGACCUAUAUACUUUGCUUUGAUCAUGUAUCCUGGAAAGAGUUGGAUGUAGAUGGGCUUGGUGAUUAAGGAGAUGUGGAAGAUCUGGCCAUUUGCCGCCUUGAAAGCUACUGAACAGGAAUUCCAGUGAGAAGCUGCAAGUAUGUCUGGUUUGAUUAUAGAUGAUGCUGCUCCAAUGUCGAGAUAAGCUUUGAAUUUGAUGGGCUUGUCAUAUUUGUUGGGAAAGAUGUAGAUUUUGGCGUUUGGUGAUGGUUGGGAUAUGUACGCCAAUUCUUCUUUCGACUUUGUAAGCAUGAAAUGUGUAGAGGUCAAAUAACAUGAAUUGAUCAUAUGCAUCUUCUUCUUCUUUAGUGCUUGAUUCAUCCGAAGAGUCUUCUUUUUGUUCGAUACCCAUUGCUAGAACUGUAUCAUCGGUUGGUUCAUCAUCAAGGGAAAAGAUUGAUUCAAUGUCGGAGUCAUCAAUAUCUUUGAUCUUGGCUAAGUAUCUAAGAAGAUUAUCUCUUUUCUUCUUAUUCGGGCAUUGUUUUGCAUAGUGGCCUUUCUUCUUGCAGAUGUAACAUCUGUCUGAUUACUUGAAACUCUUUGUGACUUUUUCCUGAAGAAUUUCCACUUCUUUUUGUCGGACAGAUGAGGAUACUUCUUCUGCCAUUUUUUCUUGAAUCUUUUUUCUUUCCGAUAACUUGUUGAACAUCCACACUUCCUCUCUUUGCAUUUUAUAGAGAGUUAUGGGCGAUCACACGCUCUUCCUAAUAGUUUUCCUUCCUCUUGCAGGUGCUUGAAAAACUUGCAUAACUUUUCUAGUGUCGCAAGGUGUAGAAUCUUUUUGACAUCCUCUCAUAGUGUUUUUCUAGAUCCUUUCUUUUGAAAAAAUAACACUUCAUACUGAGAUAUUCUUCUCUUGCUUGAAUGGUGUAGUGAUCCCAUGCUCCAAGAAAUUCAUUGUGGAUGUGUCCAAUCAAACCAUCAAUCGAAGGAAGAGGAUAAUCUAUUUUACUAGCAUUGAAUUUUCUUAAGGAAGAUGAUUUUAUCAAAGAAGAUGUAAUUUUCAUAGUGUAUGUGGAGGUCAGAAACCAUAACAGAAUACUUUGUUUCUUAUCUAUCUCUUAAAGUAAUAACAAACCUUGAGUUGUUUUUCUUAUUAUCAACAAGUACUAAGAACAUUAAGAAAUUAAUCAAGCGGUUUUUAGCUACGCAAACCGAGGCAAAACACUAAUCAACCUUUAAAAGCCUCAAGGUACUUCGAGAUUUUACAACCUCAUAGAUUUGUUUCUUUAUGUUCUCUUUCUCUAGCUAAACCGGAUUUCUGAUGUGGAGAUAACAACUCUACGAUGUAUUACGACUUAAGAAGGUAAGAGCCAAAGCUUAGAUUGCCAUGGAUCGAAUUCGUUUGUGGAUUCGAUGAUAUCUUGGUAUUUGAAUUUGCCAUCAACGCUUAAUAUGGACAUAUUCUCUCCUGUUUCAUGAUUUGUGUUUCUUCCAUUAUGUGGUUUUCGUUUCCAAAUGUAGUAGUAGGUGAAUGUGCAUGGGGAUAUAGAGAGAAUGACGAGUGCUCCUAGGAUAGGCACUAGUAUCCACAUUUCAAGUUUUUUUCUAAUUAAAAUAAAAUGUCGAAAAUAAUAAGGUUGAUAAUUUUUGUUUCAUAAAAAAUUUAGAUAUUUGAAAAUUAGCCGCCAAACUUUUCUCUAGUAUUAAAUUUAAUGUAAGUGGUUAGCUUAAUUGUAUAUAUAGAUAUUUAACUUUCUCGAAUAACAAAAAAAAAAACUGAAAACAUAAGAAAAGAAAAGGCAAAAUUUUAGCAAAAAUGGAAAAAAGUAUAAACAAAAUUUGAUCUAAUUAUGUUAUUUGUAUUUGUUAUGUAAUAGGUCAGAUUAAUUUGUCUCGUCUCAAAUUCCUAUAACACAAUUAUGUUAAUAAUCCUUUUGUUCCGCACAUAAUGUGUAAAUAGUAAUUUUAAUUAA